GACGUAGGGCGCGAGCGUUGUCCGGAUUUAUUGGGCGUAAAGAGCUCGUAGGCGGCUUGUCGCGUCGAACUGUCGAAAUCCCGCGGCUCGAACUGCGGGUCUGCAGUCGAUACGGGCAGGCUAGAGUUCGGUAGGGGGAGACUGGAAUUCCUGGUGUAGCGGUGGAAAUGCGCAGAUAUCAGGAGGAACACCGGUGGCGUAAGG
rnacentral:rRNA from 1 species